rnacentral:hammerhead_ribozyme from 1 species
AUCUACCUGAUGAGUCCCAAAUAGGACGAAACGCGAUUCCUUAAU